GACGAACGCUGGCGGCGUGCUUAACACAUGCAAGUCGAACGGAGCUGUUUAUUUCGGUAGAUAGCUUAGCGGCAAACGAGUGAGUAACGCGUAGGCAACCUGCCCUUAGGAUGGGGACAACGGCCCGAAAGGACCGCUAAUACCGAAUGGACUCUAACUUUCGCAUGAAAGAAAGAGGAAAGAUGGUGCAAGCCAUCGCCGAAGGAAGGGCCUGCGUCUGAUUAGCCAGUUGGUGAGGUAACGGCCCACCAAAGCAACGAUCAGUAGCCGGUCUGAGAGGAUGAACGGCCACAAUGGGACUGAGACACGGCCCAUACUCCUACGGGAGGCAGCAGUGGGGAAUCUUCCGCAAUGGGCGAAAGCCUGACGGAGCAACGCCGCGUGAGUGAAGAAGGUCUUCGGAUCGUAAAGCUCUGUUGUUGGGGACGAAAGGGAAGGGGAGGAAAUGCCCUUUUAAGACGUACCCGACGAGCAAGCCACG
rnacentral:rRNA from 1 species